GUUGUAGUGUGGUCGUAGUGUGGUUGUAGUGUGGUCGUAGUGUGGUCGUAGUGUGGUCCUACCUGAGAGGUCGUAGUGUGGUCGUAGUGUGGUCGUAGUGUGGUUGUAGUGUGGUCCUACCUGAGAGGUCGUAGUGUGGUUGUAGUGUGGUUGGAGUGUGGUCCUACCUGAGAGGUCGUAGUGUGGUUGUAGUGUGGUCCUACAUGAGAGGUCGUAGUGUGGUUGUAGUGUGGUUGGAGUGUGGUCCUACCUGAGAGGUCGUAGUGUGGUUGUAUUGUGGUUGUAGUGUGGUCCUACCUGAGAGGUCGUAGUGUGGUCGUAGUGUGGUCCUACCUGAGAGAUCGUAGUGUGGUCGUAGUGUGGUCCUACCUGAGAGGUCGUAGUGUGGUCGUAGUGUGAUCGUAGUGUGGUCGUAGUGUGGUCCUACCUGAGAGGUUGUAGUGUGGUCCUACCUGAGAGGUCGUAGUGUGGUCCCACCUGAGAGGUCGUAGUGUGAACCUACCUGAGAGGUCGUAGUGUGGUCGUAGUGUGGUCGUAGUGUGGUCCUACCUGAGAGGUCGUAGUGUGGUCCUACCUGAGAGGUCGUAGUGUGGUCCUACCUGAGAGGUCGUAGUGUGGUCGUAGUGUGGUCGUAGUGUGGUCCUACCUGAGAGGUCGUAGUGUGCGUAGCAGUCGUAGUACUCUGAGGAUUCCCAGGAUGCGGUUCCCUCCAGUCAAGGCCAGAGAAACCAGGAUGUCCACCAGAGAGACAAACACCAGGAUCCCAUCCAGAACAUUCCAGCUGCUCUUCAGGUAGCUCUGUUUACCCCAGCAGAACCCCAACGCUACAAUCUAUAGACACAACAUUAAGAAGACAAUAACUCCAGGACUGACAACAGACUGAAACAGACAACAGACUGAAACAGACA
ensembl:lncRNA